rnacentral:rRNA from 1 species
UCCCCCACGCUGACUAGAAAAGCCUCUAGCGAGUUAUAAGGUGAUCGUACCGCAAACCGACACAGGUAGACGGGCUGAGAAUGCUCAGGCGUUGAGAUAAUUAUCAUUAAGGAACUCGGCAAAUUGGCCCCGUAACUUCGGGAGAAGGGGUACCUGAUUUUGUUAUGGAAGCAUGUCUUUCAGAAGCAUUAGCAGGUUUCAAUAAAUUGGCCCAAUCGACUGUUUAACAAAAACACAGGGCUCUGCAAACUCGUAAGAGGAAGUAUAGAGUCUGACGCCUGCCCAGUGGCGGAAGGUUAACGGGAGAUGUUCGUUCUUAGGAGCAAAGCAUUGAACCGAAGCCCCGGUAAACGGCGGCCGUAACUAUGACGGUCCUAAGGUAGCGAAGUACCUUGUCGGGUAAAUUCCGACCCGCAUGAAUGGCGUAACGAGUUGGGCGCCGUCUUAAUGAUACACUCAGUGAAUUUGUAGUGCCGGUGAAAAUGCCGGCUACCCGCAGAAGGACGGAAAGACCCCGUGCACCUUUACUGCAGUUUGGCAUUGAUUUUUGAAUUUGUAUGUGUAGGAUAGGCGGGAGACUGCGAAGCUAUGACGCCAGUUGUAGCGGAGUCAUCCUUGAAAUACCGCCCUUAUAAGUUGAAAGAUCUAACUUUGACCCGUAAACCGGGCUAAGGACAAUGUCUGAUGGGCAGUUUGACUGGGGUGGUCGCCUCCUAAAAAGUAACGGAGGCGUUCAAAGGUUCCCUCAAGAUGUAUAGAAAUCAUCUUAAGAGCGCAAAAGCAUAAGGGAGCUUGACUGCGAGACAUACAGGUCGAGCAGGUGCGAAAGCAGGAUUUAGUGAUCCAGUGGUUCUGUAUGGAAGGGCCAUUGCUAAACGGAUAAAAGGUACGCCGGGGAUAACAGGCUGAUCUCCUCUAAGAGUCCACAUCGACGAGGAGGUUUGGCACCUCGAUGUCGGCUCAUCACAUCCUGGUGCUGAAGAAGGUCCCAAGGGUUAGGCUGUUCGCCUAUUAAAGUGGUACGCGAGCUGGGUUCAGAACGUCGUAAGACAGUUCGGUCCUUAUCCUCUGUGGGCGUAGGGUACUUGAGGGGGGCUGUUCCUAGUACGCAAGGACCGGGAUGGGUAAACCUCUAGUGUUCCAGUUGUUCUCCAAGAGCAAGCUGGGUAGCCAAGUUUAUAAGAGAUAACCGCUGAAAGCAUCUAAGUGGGAAACUCGCCCUAAGAUAAGAUACCCCUUAUUAGAACGCCCAAAUGAACAAACUUCGGUUUGCUAGUUUGAUAUGUCUAAUAAAUUAAUAAGGUCCCUUGAAGACUACGAGGUAGAUAGGCUGGGUGUGUAAGCAUAGUAAUGUGUUAAGCUAACCAGUACUAAUAGACCGAAUGUUUUAACCG